AUGAAGAUAGUCUUAAAUAUUAGGUGCAGUCCUGUAGUCCUUUCAGGACUAAUUCCAGAAAUCUGCCUCUAGCUGCUCUUCAUGCAGUUUCUCAAACCAUGAAAGCUAAGCUUCCUUUAUCUGCUCAAGAUUCACAUCCAGCUACUGUUACAGCUGGUCUGCUGCUGUUGUACGACGUCCUGCUCACCUAGAGAUGCAUGCUGGACUG